UACGUAGGGUGCGAGCGUUAAUCGGAAUUACUGGGCGUAAAGCGUGCGCAGGCGGUUUGUUAAGACAGGUGGGAAAUCCCCGAGCUCAACCUGUGAAUGCCGCUGGAAACUGUCUGGCUAGAGUCCGGAAGGGGCGAGUGGAAUUCCUGGUGUGGCGGUGAAAUGCGCAGAUAUCAGGAGGAACACCAAUGGCGAAGGCAGCUCGCUGGGACGGUACUGACGCUGAGGCGCGAAAGCGUGGGGAGCAAACAGG
rnacentral:rRNA from 1 species